GGUUUUGAAAUUUUUAAUGGAAAGAAAUAGCAUAAGUGCUCUACAUGGCCAGAUAACCGUUGGAACUCUUAUCCUUCAGGACUGUGCUGUGGGUUUGCUUUUUGCUCUCCUUCCCGUUCUUGGUGGCACAUCUGGUGUCCUACAAGGAGUGUUGUCCAUGGCUAAAUCGUUGGCUAUUUUGAUUGCGUUUUUGGCU